rnacentral:rRNA from 1 species
UACAGAGGUCCCAAGCGUUGUUCGGAUUCACUGGGCGUAAAGGGUGCGUAGGUGGCCGGGUAAGUCUGGUGUGAAAUCUCCGAGCUCAACUCGGAAACUGCAUUGGAUACUAUCCGGCUAGAGGAUCGGAGGGGAGACUGGAAUACUUGGUGUAGCAGUGAAAUGCGUAGAUAUCAAGUGGAACACCAGUGGCGAAGGCGAGUCUCUGGACCAGUACUGACGCUGAGGCACGAAAGCGUGGGGAGCAAACAGG